AAUUAUUGACGGUUCAU
rnacentral:sRNA from 1 species